AAAGUCUAGCUUGCUAGAAGUGGAUUAGUGGCGCACGGGUGAGUAAUGCAUAGGUUAUGUGCCCCAUAGUCUGGGAUAGCCACUGGAAACGGUGAUUAAUACCGGAUACUCCUUACGAGGGAAAGUUUUUCGCUAUGGGAUCAGCCUAUGUCCUAUCAGCUUGUUGGUGAGGUAAUGGCUCACCAAGGCUAUGACGGGUAUCCGGCCUGAGAGGGUGAACGGACACACUGGAACUGAGACACGGUCCAGACUCCUACGGGAGGCAGCAGUAGGGAAUAUUGCUCAAUGGGCGAAAGCCUGAAGCAGCAACGCCGCGUGGAGGAUGAAGGUUUUAGGAUUGUAAACUCCUUUUGUUAGAGAAGAUUAUGACGGUAUCUCACAAAUAAGCACA
rnacentral:rRNA from 1 species